rnacentral:rRNA from 1 species
GUUGGUGGGGUAACGGCCUACCAAGGCGACGAUCAGUAGCCGGCCUGAGAGGGUGAACGGCCACAUUGGGACUGAGACACGGCCCAAACUCCUACGGGAGGCAGCAUG